UUUGCCGUUGAACAUAUAAUUCUCUAAACGGUUUCGGCCGAUGAUGACUGUUUCGGCGCAGACAUCAUCGGUCGAUCAGACGUCAGCCGCCGGCCUCUCUGCAGGGAGGAACCCACCGCUCAGAAGAACCCACCGCUCAGAAGAACCCACCGCUCUGAAGAACCAACCGCUCAGAAGAACCCACCUCUCUGAAGAACCCACCGCUCUGAAGAACCCACCGCUCAGAAGAACCCACCGCUCUGAAGAACCCACCGCUCUGAAGAACCCACCGCUCUGAAGAACCCACCGCUCUGAAGAACCAACCGCUCAGAAGAACCCACCGCUCUGAAGAACCCACCGCUCAGAAGAACCCACCGCUCUGAAGAACCCACCGCUCUGAAGAACCCACCGCUCUGAAGAACCCACCGCUCUGAAGAACCCACCGCUCAGAAGAACCCACCGCUCUGAAGAACCCACCGCUCAGAAGAACCCACCGCUCUGAAGAACACAGCUCAUCCUUCGACGGUCCACGGAACCAGCGCUCAGGAGCAGGCUGAACCUCCUCCACCUCCUCCUCAACCUCCUCCAGGUGCAGGCUGAAGCUCCUCCACCUCCUCCAGGUGCAGGCUGAGGCUCCUCCACCUCCUCCAGGUGCAGGCUGAGGCUCCUCCACCUCCUUCAGGAGGCGGCGUCCCACUUAGUGUAUUUGACAAGCUGAGCUGGACACUAAAAGACAGAGUGUCAGUUUGUCAAAUACCCCAAGUGAGACGUCACUAGUCUUCAGUCCCGGUGACGAUCGCUCCAUCAGCAGCACCAACACCACCAGCACCAGCACCACCACCGGUACCAUUAGCACCUCCAACUGGUGAUAACUGUUCACAGGUGGUGCAAUGUUGAAGAAAUAUAUACAGACUAUAAUAAAUAAUACUGUUGUUGUUGACUGGACUGUCAAUCAUUAUAUUUUGAUGGAUUUGAUUUUAUGUAAACAGAUAAUCGUUUGUUAUUUGUGUGUUUGCCAAGUAAAAUGUCACGUAGAUUACCGUUCUCUGUUCCCCUCCCUGGGUCUGACAUUUUAAACCGUCCCUCAGAUGAAUCAGUGGUUUGUAUCGGAUUCGGGCGUGUUGUAUUGCUGCUUCCUGAAUAAAAAAGUGUCUUCUGCUUAAAAAUGUA